UACAGAGGUCUCAAGCGUUGUUCGGAUUCAUUGGGCGUAAAGGGUGCGUAGGCGGUGAGGCAAGUCUGGUGUGAAAUCCCGGGGCUCAACCCCGGGACUGCACUGGAUACUGCUUUACUAGAGUACUGGAGAGGGAACUGGAAUUUACGGUGUAGCAGUGAAAUGCGUAGAUAUCGUAAGGAAGACCAGCGGCGAAGGCGAGUUCCUGGACAGUUACUGACGCUGAGGCACGAAGGCCAGGGGAGCAAACGGG
rnacentral:rRNA from 1 species